UUACACAUGCAAGUCGAACGGCAGCACGGGGGCAACCCUGGUGGCGAGUGGCGAACGGGUGAGUAACAUAUCGGAACGUGCCCUGGAGUGGGGGAUAACUAGUCGAAAGAUUAGCUAAUACCGCAUACGAUCUACGGAUGAAAGUGGGGGAUCGCAAGACCUCAUGCUCGUGGAGCGGCCGAUAUCUGAUUAGCUAGUUGGUGGGGUAAAGGCCUACCAAGGCAUCGAUCAGUAGCUGGUCUGAGAGGACGACCAGCCACACUGGGACUGAGACACGGCCCAGACUCCUACGGGAGGCAGCAGUGGGGAAUUUUGGACAAUGGGCGCAAGCCUGAUCCAGCAAUGCCGCGUGAGUGAAGAAGGCCUUCGGGUUGUAAAGCUCUUUUGUCAGGGAAGAAACGGUGGAGGUUAAUACCUUCUGCUAAUGACGGUACCUGAAGAAUAAACACCGGCUAACUACGUGCCAGCAGCCGCGGUAAUACGUAGGGUGCAAGCGUUAAUCGGAAUUACUGGGCGUAAAGCGUGCGCAGGCGGUUGUGCAAGACAGAUGUGAAAUCCCCGGGCUCAACCUGGGAAUUGCAUUUGUGACUGUACGGCUAGAGUGUGUCAGAGGGGGGUAGAAUUCCACGUGUAGCAGUGAAAUGCGUAGAGAUGUGGAGGAAUACCGAUGGCGAAGGCAGCCCCCUGGGAUAACACUGACGCUCAUGCACGAAAGCGUGGGGGAGCAAACAGGAUUAGAUACCCUGG
rnacentral:rRNA from 1 species